GACGAACGCUGGCGGCGUGCCUAAUACAUGCAAGUUGAGCGCUGAAGGUUGGUACUUGUACCAACUGGAUGAGCAGCGAACGGGUGAGUAACGCGUGGGGAAUCUGCCUUUGAGCGGGGGACAACAUUUGGAAACGAAUGCUAAUACCGCAUAAAAACUUUAAACACAAGUUUUAAGUUUGAAAGAUGCAAUUGCAUCACUCAAAGAUGAUCCCGCGUUGUAUUAGCUAGUUGGUGAGGUAAAGGCUCACCAAGGCGAUGAUACAUAGCCGACCUGAGAGGGUGGUCGGCCACAUUGGGACUGAGACACGGCCCAAACUCCUACGGGAGGCAGCAGUAGGGAAUCUUCGGCAAUGGACGAAAGUCUGACCGAACAACGCCGCGUGAGUGAAGAAGGUUUUCGGAUCGUAAAACUCUGUUGGUAGAGAAGAACGUUGGUGAGAGUGGAAAGCUCAUCAAGUGACGGUAACUACCCAGAAAGGGACGGCUAACUACGUG
rnacentral:rRNA from 1 species